CCUACGGGAGGCAGCAGUGGGGAAUUUUGGACAAUGGGCGCAAGCCUGAUCCAGCAAUGCCGCGUGCAGGAUGAAGGCCUUCGGGUUGUAAACUGCUUUUGUACGGAACGAAACGGUCUGCCCUAAUACGGUGGGCUAAUGACGGUACCGUAAGAAUAAGCACCGGCUAACUACGUGCCAGCAGCCGCGGUAAUACGUAGGGUGCGAGCGUUAAUCGGAAUUACUGGGCGUAAAGCGUGCGCAGGCGGUUAUGUAAGACAGAUGUGAAAUCCCCGGGCUCAACCUGGGACCUGCAUUUGUGACUGCAUAGCUAGAGUACGGUAGAGGGGGAUGGAAUUCCGCGUGUAGCAGUGAAAUGCGUAGAUAUGCGGAGGAACACCGAUGGCGAAGGCAAUCCCCUGGACCUGUACUGACGCUCAUGCACGAAAGCGUGGGGAGCAAACAGGAUUAGAUACCCUGGUAGUCCACGCCCUAAACGAUGUCAACUGGUUNUUGGGUCUUCACUGACCUNAGUACGAGCUACGCGUGAGUUGACCGCGUGGGGUGGUACGGUUCGCGAGUUAGUUAAGUUAAGUUAGAGUUGNGGCGNGAGAGNGCGACGGACGACGACGAGGGAGGAGG
rnacentral:rRNA from 1 species